rnacentral:rRNA from 1 species
AUCAACUUUCGAUGGUAGGAUAGAGGCCUACCAUGGUGGUAACGGGUAACGGGGUGUUAGGGCACGACACCGGAGAGGGAGCCUGAGAAACGGCUACCACAUCCAAGGAUGGCAGCAGGCGCGCAAAUUACCCAAUCCCGACACGGGGAGGUAGUGACAAUAAAUAACAAUACGGGGUUCUUUCGGAUCUCGUAAUUGGAAUGAGUACAAUUUAAAUCUCUUUACGAGGAACAAUUGGAGGGCAAGUCUGGUGCCAGCAGCCGCGGUAAUUCCAGCUCCAAUAGCGUAUAUUAAAGUUGUUGCAGUUAAAAAGCUCGUAGUUGAAUUUCGGGGUUAGUAAGUUGGUCAUGCCUCCGGUAUGCACUGGCUUUACUGAUUCCUCCUUCUUGAUGAACUGUAAUGUCAUUAAUUUGGUGUUGCAGGGAAUCAGGACUGUUACUUUGAAAAAAUUAGAGUGUUUAAAGCAGGCAUACGCUUGAAUACAUUAGCAUGGAAUAAUGAAAUAGGACGUUUGAUCCUAUUUUGUUGGUUUCUAGGAUUGACGUAAUGAUUAAUAGGGAUAGUUGGGGGCAUUAGUAUUCAAUUGUCAGAGGUGAAAUUCUUGGAUUUAUUGAAGACUAACUACUGCGAAAGCAUUUGCCAAGGAUGUUUUCAUUAAUCAAGAACGAAAGUUAGGGGAUCGAAGACGAUCAGAUACCGUCGUUGUCUUAACCAUAAACUAUGCCGACUAGGGAUCGGAUGAUGUUAUUUUUAAUGACUCAUUCGGCGCCUUACGGGAAACCAAAGUGUUUGGGUUC